rnacentral:lncRNA from 1 species
GACUGGGAAAGAGCCAGAGAGACUUGUGGGACUAAGAGCACUUAGCUUGAGGCACUUAGCUUGAGGAGCCUGAGACUGGAUGAGUGGGAAAGGCAGGAAGAUGAAUCUGAUAAGAAGUGCAUGCAAAAGUGUCAGUGUGGGAGGUCUGAAACUAGCAGUGAAAAAAAAAAAAGAGAGAGAGAUGUGAAUCAGGGCUGCGUCUGGGUGAAGCAACUGACAAGGUGGCUGGGAACCAGAGCAUUGAGAACAGAGACUGCAGGGAAACAGAAAGAAAGGGAGAUGCUUUGGGAAAAUGGAAGGACAGUAAAGUGACUACAAUCAGCAUCUCUGCAAACCCAGUGAGAAUGACUAUGGUUAGACAAGAAGGCUGGAAUGAGAAGUUUGAGGGUGGGAGGCAGACUGGGUCAGCAUGGAACAUCAGAAGGAAAGAGCACAAUUUUCUUGAAAUAUAAGCAAAAGAAAAAGUGAGGAUGGAGCAAGACCUCACAGGGACACCCAGUUCAACUCCCUUCCAAAGGCAGAAUCAACUAUACUGGCUCCUCUACAGCACGAUGUAUAUUUGCUGGUUUUUCUCCUUCCCAUGGCCCCACACCGAGAAGCUAAAUUAGGAUGCACAUUUCCAAUACAGACCUAAACAAAGAACAAGAGAGACAGUGCUCUUUGCUCCUGGAACAGCAGCAGGGGACGCCUGCACCAAGCAGGUAUGAGAACAACAGCAUCUUCAGACAUCUCAUCUUGCACAAGGAAUGUCCCAGGAAGGGGCCCGCAGCCGUGCAGACACAACGAACCCAGAGCCACAGAACGUGGAGGAUCAUCUCCAAAUGAAAAUGGAUACUCUACACCUAAACAAACAUUUUCUCAGGCUCUUGGAAAAAUACAACAGGGAAAAAAAGAUUACAAAAAAUGUACCUGACAUUCUUUUAGCUAUAUUGACAUAGCUCACGCCAUCCAAAUGCUUUGGAGAAAAUCCAACCACCUCUUAUUUCAGUGGCUAAGCACUGAACAAUGGCAACAACUCCCUUGUUGCCUCAGUACACUGUUUUCAAAGAAAACAGGAAUGUUAUUGCUCUGGUUUACUCGAAAGAAGAGAUUUACUCUGCCCCAGAAAGUAAAUAAGGAGUCUAUCUACAAGUGCAUAUGUUUGUUUUGCAAAUACAGAGCACUCUGGCUUACCUCCUGUAAAUCAGCUACACUUGCAUUUUAAUAGGCACUUAUGUGCAUCGCAGGACCAAGACCAGAGCGCUCAGUACCUCGCGGUAUCAGCUCAGAGAGCCAGCACCUUUUCGAGGAAUACUUGACAGCUUUUUCUUCUACUGAAUUUCAGGCAACACCAGCACUGACUUCUCCAAAGCACUUGGGCAACUAGUCACUAUCAGUUCUGACAGCAACAGAGAGAAAUGUUUUUUGAAAAAGUAAGAAGCAAAUGGGGCUCUACUGCUGCUAAAUCCACAUAAGGGAGGGCAGGAAACUGUCCCUGAAAAUAAAACGCAUGUUAUUGCUCUCAUGGACACGUCAGUGUGUAAAAUAUCAGAGCUCAUACAUGGAUGUUUAAGGAGUGAGGGUAACAGUUCUUAUACAAUUCUAAAAUGUAAAAUAAGGUUUCUGAAGUGUGAGACAUUAACACUAAUUAAGAAUUAUAAUCAUAUUUGUAAACAAAGAUUAAACAACACCGUGGCAGUAUCUGGUGCAGAGUACAUACAUAUAUGAAUGCAGGGAGACAGACAAAAAUGUGUUACAUCCAAUGGAAUGAAUCUCUUGUAACUCCCCAUCCAUCACACACAGCUGAGCCUCAGCUUUAGAGGAACACAUCCAUGGUCACAGGAAUUCACAUCCCAGCCUUUUACCAAAGAGCUCUAUUCCCAAAUGCUCCAAGUAGAAAUAGAAAGCCUAAGCUAGCACGUGUCUGCAGUUCAAGGGAAGCUCAUGGCUAUGCUCACAGUCUUGAGGGUGUCUGAGCUUUGUUUGGGGAUUUGUGAUGGAUUCACCAGUAAAUUCUGUCCCAGUAACAAACAAAAACUAAUAUACCAAAGAGGUAUGUAGGUUUUAAAUAUACACACACACAGACACACAGGUAAGGCAUUUAAAAAAAAAUAGAGAUGUGCUGUAUUUGAG